AGAGUUUGAUCCUGGCUCAGGAUGAACGCUAGCUACAGGCUUAACACAUGCAAGUCGAGGGGCAGCAUCAUCAAAGCUUGCUUUGAUGGAUGGCGACCGGCGCACGGGUGAGUAACACGUAUCCAACCUGCCGACAACACUGGGAUAGCCUUUCGAAAGAAAGAUUAAUACCGGAUGGCAUAAUUAUUCCGCAAUGGGGAUAAUUAUUAAAGAAUUUCGGUUGUCGAUGGGGAUGCGUUCCAUUA
rnacentral:rRNA from 1 species